rnacentral:rRNA from 1 species
GACGAACGCUGGCGGCGUGCUUAACACAUGCAAGUCGAACGCUGAAGCACCAGCUUGCUGGUGUGGAUGAGUGGCGAACGGGUGUGUAAUACGUGAGUAACCUGCCCUUGACUCUGGGAUAAGCCCGGGAAACUGGGUCUAAUACCGGAUGCUACAUGUCACCGCAUGGUGGUGUGUGGAAAGGGUUUACUGGUCUUGGAUGGGCUCACGGCCUAUCAGCUUGUUGGUGAGGUAAUGGCUCACCAAGGCGACGACGGGUAGCCGGCCUGAGAGGGUGACCGGCCACACUGGGACUGAGACACGGCCCAGACUCCUCCGGGAGGCAGCAGUGGGGAAUAUUGCACAAUGGGCGAAAGCCUGAUGCAGCGACGCCGCGUGAGGGAUGACGGCCUUCGGGUUGUAAACCUCUUUCAGCAGGGAAGAAGCCACAAGUGACGGUACCUGCAGAAGAAGCGCCGGCUAACUACGUGCCAGCCGCCGCCGUAA